AACUCUGACUAGCCCUAGUUGCCUUUCUUUUCUUUUUCCAGUUUUCUUCUGAGCUCAUGUUCCCCCUCCUGAUAUCUUACCAUCCUUUCCCUGAGCUCACUUUAUCCUUUUCCUUCUUAGAGGCAACCAUUUCAUUAAGUUUUUAAGUGCCUGGCAAUUGCUUGGUUACGACUGGUGUCUGCUCCGUGACAGCCUCUUCUUGGUGAGUAUUCCACAUCUGCCACUGGUUUUUCCUAUCCGUUUCCUACUUUUGCAGAGAUCCUGUAUGUCUUCCUUUUUGAUGACUCAUCUUUGAACAAGUGGAGUUUUUCCUGGACCAGCUCUUUGCUGGUAUCAUGUGGGAAGAGUUGGGGCUGUGUUCCAAGUCAGCUGGAAUUUUCCUUAUAACCCAGGAUUUUAGAUGUGAGCUUGAUCAGCCUUUACUUCUCUGCUUAAGCAGGUCUGGGCAUGUUUGGCAACCUGGCCUGCAUGACGGAGAUUUGCAUAAUUUGGUGUUCAUCUGUUUAUUCAGUUUUUGCCUGAAUGAUGAAGGAGGAAGUUUAUGUCUUGCUCCCUGGGGACAGGCAGAGGCAGUGUGUGCACUUCCAUCUGACAAGGACCAGAUCUGAACAGUCUGGAGAGAGGAGCUGUGGUGACAGCAGAAAGAUCUCUGCUUCAGGGGUCAGGUGUCCAGAAGAAAUGCUGAUGCAGUGUCAUGCUUGUCUCUGCCCUCCUUAGAGAACGCCUGAACAGUUCCAUUGACUCAAAGUGAAGAUCAAAAGAACCAAAUGACAGCAAUAGCUAAGUGUAAUCAUCAGUAACCCUGUGUUCUAUCCACGGGUAAAGAACAAUCAUCCUCUUCAUUAUGGGUUUCAAUUUAAAAUAUAAUACAUUUUUAGAAAUGUCUAUUUCCUUUUAUAAUCUCUUUAUAUAAUCUAGGUUAUUUUGACUCUUAGAUCUUCAUUUAACUACUGAAAAGAUUUGAUCUCAAAUCAAUGAUCUAACCACCUCUGCCCGCCUCCCUCCCCAUACACCCCCCAGCAUGAAUUCUGGGAACUCAGGUAAAAUGCUUUCUGGAAACCUGCCUGUAUUAGUCUGUUGUCACACUGCUAAUAAACACAUACCCGAAACUGAGUAAUUUGUAAA